UCAAGCAACUAAGCGCAUACGGUGGAUGCCUUGGCAGUCAGAGGCGAUGAAAGACGUGGAAGCCUGCGAUAAGGUUCGGGGAGCUGGCAAACAAGCUGUGAUCCGGGCAUUUCUGAAUGGGGAAACCCACCGACUUUCGGGUCGGUAUCUUACACUGAAUCCAUAGGUGUAAGAGGCGAACCGGGGGAACUGAAACAUCUAAGUACCCCGAGGAAAAGAAAUCAACCGAGAUUCCCUAAGUAGCGGCGAGCGAACGGGGAUUAGCCCUUAAGCUAGACAACUGGUAGGAGAAGGCUCUGGAAAGUGCCGCCAUAGUGGGUGAUAGCCCCGUAUCCGAAACCUGAGUCUGGUGAAAUCGAGUAGGACGGGACACGUGAUAUCCUGUCUGAACAUGGGGGGACCAUCCUCCAAGGCUAAAUACUCCUGACUGACCGAUAGUGAACCAGUACCGUGAGGGAAAGGCGAAAAGAACCCCUGUGAGGGGAGUGAAAUAGAUCCUGAAACCGUAUGCGUACAAGCAGUCGGAGCGGACUUGUUCCGUGACGGCGUACCUUUUGUAUAAUGGGUCAUCGACUUGGUCUAUCUAGCAAGCUUAAGCCGUUAGGUGUAGGCGCAGCGAAAGCGAGUCUUAAUAGGGCGAAUGAGUUAGGUGGAUCAGACCCGAAACCGAGUGAUCUAGGCAUGGCCAGGUUGAAGGUAAGGUAACACUUACUGGAGGACCGAACCCACAUCUGUUGAAAAAGAUCGGGAUGAGCUGUGCCUAGGGGUGAAAGGCCAAUCAAACUCGGAGAUAGCUGGUUCUCUGCGAAAUCUAUUUAGGUAGAGCGUCAUCCGAAUACCCUCGGGGGUAGAGCACUGGAUGGGUAAUGGGGCCCCACAGGCUUACUGAUCCUAACCAAACUCCGAAUACCGAGGAGUACUAGAUGGCAGACACACUGCGGAUGCUAACGUCCGUAGUGGAGAGGGAAACAACCCUGACCUACAGCUAAGGCCCCCAAUUCAUGGCUAAGUGGGAAAGCAGGUGGGACGACCAAAACAACCAGGAGGUUGGCUUAGAAGCAGCCACCCUUUAAAGAAAGCGUAAUAGCUCACUGGUCGAGUCGGCCUGCGCGGAAGAUGUAACGGGGCUAAACUGGUAACCGAAGCUGUGGAUGCGUGUUUACACGCAUGGUAGAGGAGCGUUCUGUACGCUGUUGAAGGUGAAUCGAGAGGUUUGCUGGAGGUAUCAGAAGUGCGAAUGCUGACAUGAG
rnacentral:rRNA from 1 species